UUUGCAGCUGCAGCCGGAGUGGAGGUAAGCACUUAUUAAUUUGUGCCUAAAGGUGCCGCUUGCCACCCCCACCCCCAGUGGCUGCACCGGCUGCUUCUGCUGUGGUGUAUGUAGAGGAGGAAUGGAUUUUGUUGGAAAGAAAAUAAUUUUAAAAAUCCAUUUGCUGUACAGAGAGCUAACCAGGUUUUUCUCUGGAUCUUGGCCAGUAUCUGUAACAUUAAUAUGUUCACUGGGGGUUAUGGUUCAAUGGGCAAGGAUUAAGGAAGUGGAUGGGCAAGGAUUAAGGAAGUGGAUGGGCAAGGAAGUGGAUGGGCAAGGAUUAAAAAAUGUUGCUUGCUAGGAUGGACACACAGGCUAAGUGGUGGGCAUACAAGGUGGGAAGAGUGUGGCAUCCAGCUGUUUAGCAGGCAUGGAGUAGGGAGAGGGUGUCCCCGUGCAUCUUUGGUUCCCAUGACGUUCUUUACAUUAUAGGAGAUGGUUCACAGCUGCAGCAAGCAUUAUUGUCAGUUCAGAUUGCAUUUCUUCUCCACUUCUGUAACUGGUUUCUGCUUUACCUGUGGCUUAUCUAUAGAUAUAAAACUCUAAGGCCAUAUGUAGCAAAUCCCAUGGUACAUUGCAUAUCUUGCGAGAGUUCUGACAAGAGAGAGAGAGAAGGCAUGGAGUAGGGCUGAGCAGCAGAUGAAGGGGCAGCUGCUGCCUAUGAGGAGCAGGAGAGCAGGAGGGUGGCAGAGGAGGGAGGGAUGAGGUAGAGGCGGUGAUGCAGCAACAGAAACAUUGAGGAACAAGAAUUGCAGCAGCAGCCCCUCCUCGCGAGGAAAAUGGACAAGCCGGAGCAGGAGAGUGCACCAAGAGCCCCGGAACGGCCACCCUCCAGGUUUUGCAAAAUGAUGAUGAAGAAGAGGAGGUGAAUUGAAUGAAUAUUCUCAAAUCCACGAGGGACAAGGGAACAUUCUGGACUGCUGGUGAGUCGCAUUAAUGCUGGUUUUUUUUUUUUUUUUUGUGGUACAAUGAAAAGUGCCAAUUGCACUUAUUUUCUGUAUUAUUAAGUAUGCAUUUUAACUCAGAAUAUUUGUUUUUCAUUGUAAGUCUAGUCUCAGUAGGUUCUUCCCUCUGUGCCCUUCAAAUGACCUGCCAUCUUGGUAGGAGGGGAAUAAGGAGUUCACAGCCCAGCAAUGGACCACACAAUUGAUAGCAGCUGAGGGAGGGAGAUGGCUGAAAGACAAGGGGAACAGCCCUAAAGAACUGAGUUACAGGGAAAGAUAUGCUACCCUGGAGCAAUUCUGCAUGAUGGAGUGGGUAGACAUUUCCCCAGUGUAAUAGUCUUUUAAUUGUAUGUAAGCAGACUUGGGUAGGUGCAAACAUCUCUACUGAAAUCAAACAAUAACAUAAUAAUUAGAAGAGUUACUUCACUUUGAUACUGAUAGAAGAUCAAUAUUUGUCCACAGACCACCACAUCUUAUACAUCACUCACAUUCACUCUGUGUUAUUGCACAGAUUUAAAGCAUAUCAUAUCAUAUUUUAAAUAAUAUAACAAAAAUGCACAAGCAUGAAUGGGCACUUUUAGAAAGACAUUCAGGAAAGUCCUACAAUCAUUUUUGGGUGGAGCAAUGUGGUGUAUUCACCACUUUGUAGGCAUCACAAUUAUUAAAGCAUAAUGUUGCCAACAGCAUGUGGAAAAUAUGACCACUUAAAGCUCCUUAGGGAAUGUGUCCAUGACUGCAGCACAUUUAGUUUCUCCCAUAAAACUCAAUAGGAGCCAUUGACUUAUAUGGUUCAGAGUUUACAGACAAGCAAUUGCAGUCAUGAAGAACAGAAGUAGGCAAAAUCUGCUGCUUGACUCUGGUACUUGAGCCAGAAGUGUCUGAAACUGGGAGCGGUUUUUGUCCCCUCCUAAACAAUCUCCCUUUGGGAAUUCCUCUGAUCUAGGGCUUUUCCUCACUGCCCCCCCCCCCAAUUGCUUGUCAUAAUGGCAGGCAUUUUGUUAAAAAAUAACAAGAGUAGCAGAAGCAGCUGUUUGAGAAUAAAAUGUGCUGCUUUUCGCACAGGUACUUCUGGCAUGAGAGUAAAUUUGCUAGCUCUUUGCUUAUCAUAUGCUUAUCUAAUAUAUGAUAUUGGCUGACCUAAUGUAGUGAUUUGGUAUGAUAGAAUCCUGUGGUUUUGUAUCUAAUAUCUAUAUCUAUAUCUAUAUCUAUAUCUAAAUGAAUGAGUGGUUUUUCCCGUGACACUCUAUGGAUGCGAAAGCUGAACUUUGAAGAAGCAAGACAGAAAAAGUAUUGACGCUUUUGAACUUUGGUGCUGGAGAAGACUUUUGAGGAUAACAUGGACAGCCAGGAAAACAAACAAAUGGAUCAUAGUACAAAUCAAUCCAGAAUUUUCCCUUGAGGCACAAAUGACCAGGCUCAAACUAUCAUACUUCGGACACAUUAUGUGAAGAGGAUGACCAGCAGCAAGGUGGAUGGACUUGAUUACGACAACAAUGAAUGCACCACUGAGAGACCUCAAAGGCCAAGUUGAAGACAGAUAAUCCUGGAGAGAAUCUAUCUAUGUGGUCGCUGAGAGUCGACACCAACUUGACAGCAUGUAAUCAAUCAAUCAAAAUGAAUAACUAUGUGGGAGGAAAAUGUUUGAGUGAUUCUCAAACAUACUUAGAAGAGGAUUUUGUCCUUGAGAUGAGCAACAUGCAGUGCACUUUAUUUAAAGCAGGAUGCCUCCGCUGACAUUGAUAGCAAAAAAAGUCAUCAAGAACAAGUUACACUGAGAUGAAUAUAUCUUGGUGCCUCCAGAAGCCUCAGGUGGGCUACCUUUCCUCAAAAGGAGGCCUCCAGCACUCGUGUGGCUAAUGACAGCUCAGAGGCUGAUAAAUGUUGAAGUUCAGUGCAAGAAAGAAACUGCAUGCUCCGAUGUGGAGGGAUGGCAUCACCAGUCUGUGUCACCACAUCCGGAGAAAGACAACCUACAAGCUUGAGCCAAUACCUGGGGGAAACAGGGAAUUAGAGAAAGCAAAAUCUGAAGGUUUGAAGCAAGGUCUGAGAGCAGAUCCAUUCCGCUUAUCAUCCACUAAAAGUCCCCUAUAAGCAUGGUUAAUGAAAGAUAUAUGCAUCACAACUACAAAAUAGCCACUAGUGAAGAUGAAACCCUUCGUCCUCAGUUAAUGCUUCCUUCAAGCUGCCUACUGCUCAUUCAAAGCCAGUGAGGAAGAUGAAGUACAAUAUACCUGUAGUCAGUGGUGCACCUAGGUAAUUUUGACGCCCAGAUCACACCCACUGCGAGGUACCCCUGCUGCUGCAAGCGGGUGGAUGGUGCCAAACCCGCCUACAGAGCCACCCUCCAAAACAAGGUUCGGAGAGUGAGCGCUCUCCUAUCCCCAUUUCUUCUUCUUGCAGCCAGGGCUGUCUGACUGUGGGACUCCAGUUGGCUUCGCGAGGGGCCAUGAAGGCUCCCCCUGCCGUGGUCGCGAGCCCCACUGCUGCAGCUGUGAGCUUUCCCUCGGAGUUGCCAGCAGCAGCUGGUAAUCAUCUGGGUGGCCAAUCCGGCCACCCAAAGGGAAGAACCAGAUCGUCUGAGGAGAUAUCCUGCUAGUCCUCUUGCCCUUUCCUCACUGCUCCUGACAAAGGGCUCUAUGUCUUAUUAGAAUGCAAGGACAAACUAGGAGCUUGUGAAUUGUUUUCUUUUCUGUUCCUCACAGUUCCUCUCUCAGGAUCACUUAGUUCUUAAAUUACUACUUCUACUGCUACUACUACUUCUACUAUUACUACCACCACCACUAAGUGUAGCAACCACUACUAUGUACCUUGAGCCUUUUCUUUAAAUUAUUGGUAAAAUUGGGUUCUGUUGAUUGUUGCUGUUCCAUAUUUUUUAAUUUGUUGAUGAAUCGUUUAAUUUGUAAUGUUUUAAUCUGUGCACCACAUUUAGAUUUUUUUAAAAAUAAUAUUUUUAAAAAGCUUGUAAGUAUUAUGAAUAAGUAAUUCCCUUUAUUUGCAUAUUAAUUCUGUUUGGAAAAUGUGGGGUUGCCUUUUACAAAAUGUGGGAUUUUUUGGUGGAGAUUUAACAGGUCUUUGUAUGUAAUGGAUACAAUGCAGUUGAGGAAGAGUACUUAGUAUUGACUAUUGCAGCACUUGGCGAUCCUAUGAAUAUGAAAAGUAACCAAUUAUCUUUGAUUCCAAUUUAUGUGGUAUUCAGUUCAAAGACAUCAAGGAAAAUUCCGUUUUGUGGAUGCUAUACUUUGUACUCUAUUGGAUGGCUUAUCACAUCUAAUUAACAUCUUCUCAACUCUAUGUGCCAUUUCCCCCAUUAUCUCUCAUAUCAUUUUUUUCUUCAUAACAUUUGUUUAUUGUAUUGUGGGUUAUAAGAGUGGGUUUACCUACCAACGAGGUAAUGGAAGUGAUAUUUGCUAGUGGUUUGAUGGGAGGCAGACAUGUAUUCCUACUUGCUACAUCAAUUUGAAAGUGACCCUUUACAGAUAGAUCUAAAAUAGAGAUGAGCACAAAUUGGUUUUUGCUAUUUGAUUUGAGCUCGAGCCAGUGUGGUGCAGUGGUUAGAGUGCUGGACUAGGACUGGGGAGACCCAAGUUCAAAUCCCCAUUCAGCCAUGAGACUUGCUGGGUGACUCUGGGCCAGUCACUUCUCUCUCAGCCUAAUCUACUUCACAGGGAACCCAAAUCACCCCAUUGUUCCCUGUGAGUAGGUUCUAGGGACAUCAAAGUGGGUUGGGUGGUAGGGCAUGAUGAGUGCUACCUACCACCCAGACCAUAUAAGAAAAGGGUAAAUGGGAGAUUUUAAAAAUAUCUUUAACCUUUCCAAGAACCACCCCACCUAGGAUCCUAUGGUUGUUGUUGUUUUUAAAUUAAGUUAAAUCACCCACUUGCCCAUUUCUUUUGUAAGUUGGGUGAUAGAUAGCACCUAUCACACCAUACCAACCAAUCCACUCUGGUGUCCCUGGAACUUACCCAUGGGGAACAACUGGGUGUCAGAUUCAGGGUGCAUGCCAACUGGGCUUUUAAAACAUCAGAGGAAAAUAAAAGCAGUUAGUGGAAGCACUGCAAAUUAAAAGGAUAAUAAGAUAAGCCCCCCCCCUCUAUAUAUAUUUAUGGGUCAAGCAUGUACUACUUUGCUUUGAAAACAAAAUAUGUUAAAGAAAACAACAACCCAGGUUUCCUUCACUAUACUUUUCAUUCACUAAAAGAUCACUAUAGGAUCUUUUAAACCUAUUUUGUAUGUAACAUGAGUACUGACAAUGGGUUGUCAAUGGAAUAACUGUAACAAUUGUACCAUUUCAUACUACUGUUAUAUUGUGAUAAACAUGUCUAAAAAUA